AUACGAAAGGUGCAAGCGUUGUUCGGAUUUACUGGGCGUAAAGAGAGUGUAGGUUGUUUAUUAAGUCGGAUGUGAAAUCCCGGGGCUCAACCUCGGAACUGCAUUCGAUACUGAUAGGCUAGAGUUUGGGAGGGGUAAGCGGAAUUCCGUGUGUAGGAGUGAAAUGCGUAGAUAUACGGAGGAACACCUGAGGCGAAGGCGGCUUACUGGACCAAUACUGACACUGAGACUCGAAAGCGUGGGUAGCAAACAGGAUUAGAAACCCUAGUAGUCC
rnacentral:rRNA from 1 species